GGCAACUUGCCGGAGUGGUUAACGGGACAGAUUCGAAUAACCGUACUAUCUGUUGGGCUUUGCCCGCGCAGGUUCGAAUCCUGCAGUUGUCG
rfam:Yarrowia lipolytica strain CLIB122 chromosome A complete sequence.